GGUUAAGCGACUAAGCGUACACGGUGGAUGCCCUGGCAGUCAGAGGCGAUGAAGGGCGUGCUAAUCUGCGAUAAGCGCCGGUAAGGUGAUAUGAACCGUUAUAACCGGCGAUACCCGAAUGGGGAAACCCAGUGUGACUCGUCACACUAUCAUUAACUGAAUCCAUAGGUUAAUGAGGCGAACCGGGGGAACUGAAACAUCUAAGUACCCCGAGGAAAAGAAAUCAACCGAGAUUCCCCCAGUAGCGGCGAGCGAACGGGGAGGAGCCCAGAGCCUGAAUCAGCAUGUGUGUUAGUGGAAGCG
rnacentral:rRNA from 1 species